CUGAACCACUGAGCAGUUAAAGAGGCAGGCAUUUCUUUACGAUCCCCCUCUUCUCAGCUUCUGCCCUUUUGUGUCAAGAAGCUCAAACUGUCCCUUGUCCUCAAAGGUACUCAGCCUCCAAACACAGGCAUGCGUGGCAGACUAGGGCACACGCCCACAUGCAGGAUUGAAAUGCAGGGUUUGCAUAUAGGGGGCCAGGACAAGUAACACCUACUUCUUACAUACAGUUGGAUUCUUUCUAGGGCUCAUAGCUAGUGUCUUCAGCUUCAGGUUCUUCUGUAUGGACAGACAUCACACACACACACACACACACACACACACACACCUCCAUAUAUGUAUGGUAUCUUUGACUUUAUCAUGAACACAUAUAUGCAACAUCCUCUAUGUAUUUAGUAUUUGAUAUUGCCUUUGUGUCCGGUGGUCUUUUCACCAUUUUGCUGGAAUGUUCUUAUACUCCUUUGCGAUGCAGCCCCUCAGUGUUCUCGCUUUACAGAUGUGGAGCCCAAAGUUAUGCAGUUAUGCAAGAGCUAAGACAGCUGUCCCAAAGGGCAAUGCCAGGACUGACUGAACCUAUGUGCCUCGCCUACAGGCUAAGCUAGUGCUUUUCAGACUUCUGUGAAACCAACAGAUGCUAACAAAGAUAUCUGUGUCUCAGCGUGUGUGUCCACAUGUGCUUACAUAUAAAACACAGCUUGAAGGAGUAGCACUAACCCUGACCACCUUCAAAUUUCAUCUCUCCUAUGAAUCCCAUGCUAUGCGAAUCUACCCUACUCUUCCAAAGCUAAUCUCUUUCUGAUUUCGCUUUAACAGUGCCAGUGCCCUUCAAGUUUGUUCUGUGCCCCUCUGAGCCCAUGAAAACCAUUGUGACAUCAGAGCGUGAUCACGGCUUCAGUGGAUGGUGUGAGUGCCGAGUCCUGCUCCUAAGAGAACAGAUUUCCUCUGUGGCUUUAGACAAGUGUCUUGACUUCUCUGGGCUUUGUCUUCAUAGAACCUGUUUGCCAUGGGGUCUUACAGGAUAGCUGGAGGCCCAGAUCCUCCCAGACUUAGAUAAGGUGGCCUCCUCAAGUGUGAUUUGGCACUCACACGGUGUGCAUGGGAUGCAGGGAAAACCCAACAGAUGGCCUGGCAGUGUCCACUCUGGCUCCAGGGUGCACUUCUCCCUGCAGCCCAGGGCAUGAGGAUGACCCCGUUUCCAGCCUGGGGGGCAUUUGAUCUGAUUGAAGCUCACAUUUUCUCACGUAAAACAUCCCUUUCAUUCCUUUCCUCGUCCUAUUUUUCUGCUUCUCAUACUUAAUCCCUUUUGGAUUUGGGAAAGACCAAGACAAGACCCCUUUGAUUGAGCUUAAGAGUUUAUAUGCGCAGAGAGACGCAGAGAUGGAGUCAUGGAUCAGAAUCAUCUCUCCAAAUGGACAGCACCUGUGUUCCGAUCUCUGCUGGGUCACUGAGAGGCUGUGUGAGUGGAGAGCCGACAUCUGCCCUGCCUGGGCAUGGUCAGACAGGCGGCACCUGGACGGGUCUCAUCCUGAAUACACCUUCUAGGAAAUGAGAGGAUACAACUGAGACAGGAAGGAGAGGACUAGCGUCAGGGAGAACCUCCCAACGAAGGGCCUAAGAGUUCGGGAGGGUAGGAAAUACUGUGUUUUUAAUAAUUCAGGGAGCCUGCCAGUCUUCAAAACCUGGCCACGCUUACUUGGUCAUUGCCUCCCAACCUUCUGCAGUGGCUUGUCUGGGAGGGGGUUGGUUGUGGGAGAUCUGCCAACAACAACAACAAAGAACUGUCAUAGCAGGACACCCAGGGGCAUUGCCUGGUGUUACCAAUGAGAUUCAGAGGAGGUUUGGCUUGCUUGGAUCUCACAGAGAAUCAGAGCCUCGGAACUAUCAUGCUUGCUAUGUCCACGAUCCUAAAGGUCAGGCCAGCUCUGACCCUAGGGACAGUCUGGGAGUGUAUCCCAGCCCUCUACCUCUCUGACAUGGAAUGAGCCAGUGGAAGGAUGGUUCCUCUCUCCCAACCUCCCAUCAUCCCAGGUCAGCCCUGGCCAGGUAAAUGGCCAGGGCUCCUGUACGUAGUAGUCAGCUUCUUGUGUCUGUAACGAAACAGCCGAGGAAGGCUAACUUUAUAAAGAAGAGAAGUUUAUUUGACUCCCAGUUUUAGAGCUUUCAAAAUCUGAAAAGCAUGACACAGGCUCUGGUGAAGAGCGCAUGGCAGAUGGCGGGAGUAUGAGGGGGAGGAAGGAUCGCACCUCAGACAGAGUGCGAUGGAGCUGGGCUUUUAUAACAACCUUCCCACAACAACUAACCAGAGACCCACGAGAAACUUCUCAGUGCUUCUAAGGAAGGCACAUCAGCAUGGACCUGGAGGUCCUCUGCUAGAAACAGCCCCAUUUUUGCAUGUGUGCAUUAUGUGGCCUGUGUGCCUACAUGUUUGCACGUAUGCGAGUGAACACAUGGAUAAUAUGCAUGCAUGUGCAGGCCAGAGGGGAUGCUGGGUAUAUCUUCCUUGAUGGACCCCUAUCUUAUGUAUUAAGGCAAGGUUUCUCACUUGAACCCAAAGCUUGCCCAUACACAUAGUCUAGAUAGCCGGUCCUCUUCAGGGACGCCCCCCAUCUGCCUCCAGAGUGCUGGGAUUAUUUACCCAGUGUCUCUGUGGGUGCUUAGGGUUUGGACUGUGAUGCUCAUGCUUGCUCAAAAGCACUUGUCCUAUAGAGCUGUCUCUCUAGCCCCUAGAUUCCUACCUCUCGGUGAUGGUUUGUAUGUGUUUGGCCCAGGGAGUGGCACUAUUUGGAGGUGUGGCCUUGUUGGAAUAGGUGUAUCAUUGUAGGCAUGGGCUUUAAUACCCUAGUCCUAGCUGCCCGGAAGCCAGUCUCCUCAUAUGAAGCCAGCCUUCAGAUGAAGAUGUAGAACUCUCAGCUCUGCUUGCACCAUGCCUGCCUGGAUGCUGCCGUGUUCUUGUCUUGAUGAUUAUGGGCUGAACCUGUAAGCCAGCCACAGUUCAGUGCUGUUCUUAUAAGAGUUGCCUUGGUCAUGGUGUCUAUUUACAACAGUAAACCUCUAAGACACUGUUAAAGGUGCCCCAGUCCUUCUCAACCCUGCCACCCUGCAGACCAAAGUCCCACCACACAAUUCCCUGGACAUCAAGUAACAGGUCUCCGCGCCUGUUUCUCUAAAGCACAGCUUCCCUUAGAGGGAGGCUUUGCAGAUCAGCAUCCCCUGGUCUCUGGUAGGGAUGACGACAGAACUGUCAGGCUGGCGACCUUUGCCCUCCACUCUUAUCUGGAAGAAAGGAAGUCCUGAGGGUGUCUUGGUAUGCCGAGGCAUGUAGGAUGAGAUUUUUUUUUUCCUUGUGCCUAGGUGCCUCCCCCUCCCCCUCGCACCCCAUCAGAAAUCACUUGGAACCUAAUUUUGUAACUGAAUUCACACUCUGAGAAAGCCUUUGAGGAGUCAUCUUGCUUCCUCUACUCUGAGAAAACCCAGCCCCAGCUGAUGACCAGACCCUCUGAAGACACAGAACACCGUGCUAUCCGAGAGCCACAGUGGACUCUGGGGACCUCCUUUUUUCCUCUAUCCCUGAGGCAGAGGCUAUUGCCAUCUUUGUCAGGGACAGGGGAGGGAUGUCCCUGAGUUCUCCUUGCAGAAAGGAAAGGAGUGCCAUGGACCGUCACACUGCAGCAAGCAAGGCCUGCAUUUCUAGAGGCUUCAGAGAGCUCAUUUUGAGAAAGGAGCAGGCAUGCCUCUGUUUUCAUCACCCAGAUGACAAGGAUUGGACACCUUUGAUGUCCACUCCACCCCACCCCACACUCUUUCAAAAUGCAUUUGCUCACAAUGUCAGGCCAGUGUUUCAGGAGAGAGGUGGGCACCUCAGUGCUCCUGCCCAUCUGACCCAUGGUAAUGGCACACAGACAUACUGCCUGCUCUCCCACCCUGUCCCUUCCUUUCUGUUCUGCAGAACCUAUGUAUGGACUUCUCAUUAUUUCAAGCAAGAGAACCUUGUGGAAACUUCCAGUGCCACAGAGGCGGGAGCAUGAGCUUGCAAAGCCUUCUCUGCAGUCGCUGCCGCAGGGACAGCUCUGUUGGCCCAAGCUCAGGUCAGAACAGGCACCAGGGAUGGAGAAGCUAGGUUCCCUGAGGGAGAAAGGCCAGUCAGUGCAGAGGAAAUGGCUCUGUGGCAGGAUAGAGUGGCCUUGCUCAGUGGGAGCCCCUAACCAUAUGACUAGGUACCUAUUACCACUCUAUCAUCUGGGAACAAAAGCUGCUCCUGACUCUAGAGGCAGCGACCAAGAAGUGAGGGCUCUCUGGGUCUGUGACAAAUUAUGUCAUUGUCCUUGACCUAACAGUGAAGUCACCUACCUCUCAGCCACUAAGUGGCAGAAACGUGCCUGACUAGGCCCUCCAUUCUCAGGACAUCUGACCUCUCUGCCACUUUGACCUUCACGAGAGCCCAGCUGCCUGCACUCACCCAGGCUAUCUGCCGAGGUCCCUGUCCUUGGCCUCUGCUGAGCCCUGCCCCCUUCCACAUCUGAAUGAGCUAGGGUCUGAGGGAUACCGCGCUGGAAGAGAGACCAGCCUGAAGCUUUUCCCUUUAGGUCUGAGUUAGUCCUCCCAAACCCUUGAAAGGGAGCAGCUGAGGGCAUAUUUUACUUCAGGCACACAGUCUAGUUUUCUUUAUACCCACCCUUGUCAUUUCUGGACAGUGGAGCAGCCAGAAUUGAAUCUCUAGGAGCUGGGAGAAAGGGUAUAGAGGUGACUUCCAAAGAGCAAUAGAGACUAGAACUCCCCGAGUGUGGCAGAUUGCAGAGAGCUGGGUGACAGCAUCGCCCUCCCCCUCUACCUCCACCUCCAGAGAUGAGGUAAGGGGCCUUCCCAGAUGCUAGCUCCUUCCAUCCCAUCUGAGGGAAUGAAGGGCCUGAAUGUGCUCAGGUCCCUGGUCAGAUUAGAGAUUGACUUCGAGCAUUAAAAGAGGUAAGACGUUUGGCAGUCAGUGGUGUUUGUAUGUUUCAACCUCCCCCGGUGUUCAACUGCCACCUCUAAGUCUCAGACUUCAUGCCUUCCCAAAUCCCUAGUCUCACGGUGGGCAGAAGCCAGACGGCCUGCCUGGGUUGCAAUCCCAGCCCAGUCACAUUCCAGUGGAGUGCCUAUCAGCUGGUUAACUAGCCAUUCUUAUUCUCAGUCCCUUGACCUAUAAAUGCAGCAUCACUGUGUUCAUCGCCUGCCUUGAGAUGCCUGAGGGACCAGCUGAAGUGAGACAAGGACACAGGCACCCAGGACAGUUCACUGGCCCAGCCAGACAACACAUGCUACUAAUCCACGCCUCAGCAGCUUCCUGGUUGGUUAUCCUGCCUCCUUCUGUAGGAAGCAGCAACGUGUAGGAGCUGACUCAACACUACCUCUCCAUUUUGGUGACAUUGCUUGGAAUCAAAACAUGGAGAGGGCUUCAGUGCUUUGGUUAGGGGAUCCCGCUGCCUCAACAACAGAAUAUGUAAGGCUCACUUCAGCGCCCAACACACUUAGGGUUAGGACCCAAGAUGUCCAUUUCAUAACCCCACCCCACCCCUGCCCCAUUUAGUACCUAUGUAGCAGUCCCUGAGCUGGACGGAUAUUGGCAGAGCAAUUUAACAUUUCCCUCAGCCUGAUGCCCAAGGUGCCUUUGCAGCUAGGGCGACAGAGCGGCUGGUGUUGCCUUGAAAAUAUGGGACACAUCUGCCCCCUCGUGGCAGGGUCAGGAACGACGACAGCUACUUCCUGCUAGGCUUGGCAGCCUGGUGGCCAGACUUGAAGACUGACUUUGGGUCACCAAGGGUUGCAGAUCCAAGCUGAGCCACAAGGUGGGGGCACACUCCAGGCCUUAGUCUUGAAUUUCACCCACUUAAUUAUUUGCUUAUUUUCUUUUCACUCAGCAAAUAUGGAGUGCCUACAUGUGAGAGUAUGGCUCCAAGCAGCAGGGAUGUAGCUGUGGCUAAGAGAGCCACUUGACACCCACCUCUUCACUAAGAUGUGAAAUCUGGUGAUUGCACACACAGAAGCACCUCCCAAAGAGCCGAGAACCAGGCAAGAGACCACAGGGUGAUGUAGCUGCUCCUGUCUUGGGUUCUAGGAGUUAAAGAGGUAGCUGUACUCUCAUUAGGCACCAAACACACAUAAACUCAAAACGUCAGGCAUUCUCCCCACACAUUUGUUAGACCACCUAUGAUCAAGAGCAAAAAGGCUAGCAAGCAUGGCUGAGGAUCUGAGAAGGCAGAGGCCAGACACUGUUGGUGGGAACAUGGAUAUGCUUGUGGAUAUGCAGUGUUUUGUUUUUAAAAACAAGUUAAAAACAGAUCUACAUUAUCCCAGUCCAGGGUCAUGCCUGUGUCCAAAGGAAAUGAAGUUAGCAUGUUGAAGAACCACUUGCCCAAGGUGUUCCUUUUAACUCUGUGCAGUGUAGCAAGACCUAGAAUCAUUAUAGUGUCUAUUGAAAAGGGUAAAGUGUGUGUGUGUGUGUGUGUGUGUGUGUGUGAGAGAGAGAGAGAGAGAGAGAGAGAGGUGGAGAGAGAGAGAGAAAGAGAGAGAGAGAAAGAGAGAGAGAGAGAGAGUCCAUUUACAUUGGAUACCUAAAGUUUUCCUCCCAUGUACAGAAUGUGGAGCAGGCUGGAGGUGGGACUGGCAACAAUAUUUUAGUGAGUUCUGAGUGUGAAACAGGAUGGAGAGGCCUGGUGGAGAGAGCAGAGAUCAUGGCUAUAACGUGACUGUGAACUUUGAUGUCCUAAGAUAUUCUUAGCAUUAUGACACAUAAGCUAAGAGACAGAGAUGUGAAUUAGCUGGAUGUAGUUAUCGUCUCAAAUACACAGAGACAUCAAAGAGUCACCUUGGACACAUGAAAAAUAGACAUCAAGAAAUCUGGAACACUAAAAAUGUCCUCUUGUUUUCCCAUAAAUGUACACAAACUAGCCUAAGUACACUGGAGUUAUCAUUCCAUCCAGUGUGGUAUUUGUUGUGUGCUCAAGCAGGGCUCCCCAACUUUUUUCUUUCCUUAGAGAUACAGGGAGCUUCAACCAUCAUUAGCCAGGGUCUGAUUCCUGGCUCCAUACAUAUUCCGUUUUGAUGUGGUGCCAAUAAUUAAACACCAGUGUAGGAAGCGAUGGGGAAGACAGCGUGUUAGACAGUUGGAGCCCGCUUCCUCUACUUAGAACUCUUGUGACCUUGGUCAUGACAUUGAAAAUCCCAGUUCAGCCUGUUUCCCUAAGGCCAUGGUCCUGGAGCUCACGAGUCACAAGUGAACUGGAGCAUGCGGCCCCUUGGGCUUUUUGUCGCCAUGUGGGACUCUACCCCAGCCAAACUUGGUCUGGCUUCUUCAAAAGGUGGCUUAAAGAUACAUCUCCUUUCAUCAAAAGAAGGAAAUAAACUCUUAAUAAUGAGCCCGACACAUCUCACUCAGAUCCAGCUGUGUACCAGUGUCUUGAUCAUCUGUAGUUAUAUCACAGCCUGCAUUUGCAUGGCUUAGGAAGACAAUAGCAUGAUGUUUCCCUUGUGUUCUGAGGCUGUAUGGGGCUGUAUGCAGGCAGGUGUUCUGUUUAAUCUGAUUGUUACUGGGGCUGGAAUGUCCAUGGUGGCAUCUUCGCACACAUGUCUGAUCCUCUGCUGGGUGGUGGAACGAGCCAGAGGCUGGCCAGGCAUUUCUCUCUUGUGGUGAAUCCACUUAGGUCACUGGACCUUUCGUUUGGUGGCUCAAGGCUGCCAGAGAUACAUGAGGUCUGCAGUGGGCUGCACUCCAAUAUGUGUGUCCUUAUGACAUUCCAAUUAUGUCACGUUGGCUAAGGAAGGUCACAUGACCUAACCCAAAGAGGGGUCUUUGUGGCAAGAAGCCUCAGAAAAGCAGGAAUCGUGGGAAGUGUGCCACUGAUUGCUGCCAGUAGGUGUCACCACGUUAACAUGUGACAAUAGCCAAUUACAGGACUGAUGUAAGGAGCCCCUCAUAAAAUGGUGUGGCUAUAUUCCCAACAGAUUUAAGAGUCAGGAUCUAUUUUGUUAGGGCUGUCCUACCCAGAUAUAAUUUUCAUUUAGGAAAUUCUAAUGCUUUUCCCCCUAGUUUCAUUUGUGUUGCUGUGAUGAUAAAAACCCUAACAAAAAGAAACUUUUGGGGAAGAGGGGUUUUGUUUUGUAUUUGUUUUGUUUUGUUUUGUUUUAAGCUCAUAAUUCCAGGUUAUAGUCCACCAUUGCUGGUAGGUCACAGUGGCUACAGCCUGAAACAACUAGCCAUACCGCAUUCACACAUGAGAGAAGAGAGAAGUGUAUAGCUGCAUAUUUGUCCAGCCUUUGGUGACUCCCACCUUACACCAUACUUUGAAUCAAAGAAGGAUUUUAUUUUCAUUCCACGAGAUUUGUCCUCUCACAGAGUGUAAUUCAGUGGCUGUUAGUGGAGCCACCGAGUAAUGCGGCCAUCAUUACUAAUUCUAGACUGUUCCCAUUAGUUCCCCCAAAGAAACCUCAUCCCAUCUGCAGAUGCCCCCAUUUCCCUCUCUCUUCUCUUUCCUGUCUUAAGGUGACCACUGGUCAACUUUAUGUCCCUCUGUUGAGAGUUAUAAGCAGGCCUGCCAUUUCUGGACACUUCCUCUAGUGGGGAUCUUGUGAUGCCUGGUCUUCUAUGGCUGGCUUCCUUCAUGUAGCAUAAUAUUCAGGGUUCAUCUGCAUGGUAGCACAUACCUUCAUUCCUUUGCAUGACUGAGUAGUGUUCCAUAGCACACAUACAGAACACUGUAUUUAUCCCAGCCUCUGUGCACACACUCAGGGAGAAUUUUGGCACCGGUCAGAGCUGUGCUUGGAAGCUAUAGACAAUGGAUAUGAUCAAGUCAGGAUGAUUUCUCAAUCAAGAGACUAAUGAGACAAAAUUAGAUUUUUAGUAAGUUGCUAUGGCAAGCCUGUGACAAUCAGGCCUGCAGGGAGACAGAGACAGGAACAAAAGAGGUCAGGCUACAGUAAUUAGGACAGAAAGAGUAGAGAGACCUCUGUGCCAGGUGCAGCCUCCAUCUCCCUAUGGCUCCUCCCAGCUCCCCUUUCUCUUUGAUUUCUCUGCCCUUUCUCCCUGUCUCCCUCUGACCUUUUGUCCCUCUCUGUUCCAUGCCUCUCUUGGUUCUCUUCUAUCUCUCUCACUUGUGUCCCCUUUCCUCUCUUCCAGUCUCUCUCUUUCACUCUUUCCUGCCCCUCUUCCUCCUUUUCUUUCUCCCCAGUCACUGGCCCCCCCCCUACUCCCCUGAUACUCCCAAAUUGAAUUUUCCUUUCUUUCUACCCUCCUUUCUGCUUCUCUCUCAUUUCCUCCCCCUCCCUGCCUAUUUCCUUCUCUCCCUUUCUCUCUCCUGUGGCCCUCUCUCUUUCCCCCUUCCUUUCAUAAAGCCUGGAAGCAGCUCAUCUCAGGCAGGAGGCCAGAGUGCUUUCAGCCCUGUCUCCUGUUUCCUUCUGCAUUGCUGUUGAGGAUCAGCCGGUCACGCUCCUUCCUGGAAUGUGUGUGAUGAUAAUUGCCUCUUGCACAAUUAUCUGCCAAGCUCUGUCGGUAAUGAAAUGAAUGAUUUAGUUAUCCUUGUUAGGAAUAGCCCACAAUGCUCAGAAACUCGUUAUUGCAGCCACGAAGCUGGCAGGAAUGCCCUCGGAGGCACCUGCGAGCGGCUUUUACAAUUAGCUCUCUCUUCUCUGCCAGAGACCACAGCCCCAUCCAGCCCCCACCAAGUGCUGGAAACAUCUAAAGGGAAACCAAUAAACAAGCCCUGGGUUAAGGCUCAGCGGCAGAGCUUGCUGGACAAGCUCAAGGCCUUGGGCUUGAUGUCUAGCUCUGCGAGAAAUGUGAGGCUAGGCUGGGCUUCCUGUCUGCCACUUUGACCCACACAUCGCAAAGCUGCAUGGGAAGGAUUAGUCAAAGCUCCGUGGUGAUAUGCACAGGGCAGAGGCCAAUGAGUUCUGGGGAAAGCUUGCUUGGCCAGAUAGAGAAUGUACACAUUCUAUACCAUGUUUCCAUCUCUCACUGCCUCUCUGAGCGCUUUCCUUUUCCAAGCUUCAUAGUCAUGGUCCAGCCUUGAUUCCUGCCUCAGACUUUCUCUACUUACUGCCUGUAUCUACAGAUGUUCAGACUAAGUCGAAUAAAGAAGAGCAGAUAGAGGUGGGUAUGUGCAUGACUGAAGAACGUUGAACCCAGGGACACACAGAAGUAUUAGAGGGAAGUUGUAUUUCUUCUGGGAGAUUCUAUACAGAAGUAGGGAAAGAGUGGCCUGGAGCUAAUUAAAAACACUGUUUCAGUUAGAGAGUAGAAACAUUCUUACAGUUAGAGAGUAUAAAUACUGUUUCAGUUAGAAGUAGAAACACUGUUUCAGUUAGAAAGUAAAGAGCCCCCCCCCCCCCCCCAUCAAGUUCCCCUCUGAGGCAGAACCAUUGCUCAUUGACCAUUCCCUGGGCAGCACACAUCAAAAACCUGUAGGGUGGGGUGGCUGCCUGAAUCCACUGCUAAGGAUCAGCCUCAGCUUGGAGAGGGGUUCUGAGAAAGGGGUGUUUGAGAGCAGUGAAAGAAACAACUCAAUCAUGGGGUAUAAGCUGGAGACAGCUUUGUCUAAGAGAUCUUCAGACAGCUCAUCCAGAGAGCUCAGCUCUCACAGACCAAGGCCCCGUCUUUUAUUUAUGUAUCAAUCCAGUCAUUUACUCCAGGUUCCCUUUUUGAUUAUCCUAUGAAUCAGCAUCAUGACCCCAGGCCCCUGAUUCUUAAGAAAAAGACAGCAAGCACAUUUGUUUUUAUUUUCUUUUUGUCCUUAACAUUGCAAAUGAAUUCAGAGAUCUGCCUAUUUUUUGUAAGCACAAACAGUAACCUUAACUGGGUGGGAUCUUGCCCUGUGACCACCAUUCGCUAAAUUUUUUUAUCUCCUUCCUAAAUCUUUCUGACAAGCUGGCUCAUAGUGCCAUAGUGCAGCUGCCUAUGUUUAUUAGGUCCAUGAAAUCCCUCAUAUAAUUCAUAUUGAAUCCUUAUAUUUUGCAUGGUUGAGAAAUUAUAUCAUAUAUAUAAUACUAUAUAUAUAUAUGAAUAUAAUUUAUUUAAUUUUAUUUCAUGUGCAUUGGUGUCAGAUCCCCUGGAACUGUUACAGACAGUUGUGAGUUGCCAUGUGGGUACUGAAGAUUGAACCCAUGUCCUCUUGAGGAGCAGACAGUGCCCUUAACCACUGAGUCAUUUCUCCAGUCUCCACUCACAUUAUCAGAGUUCUUUCCCAUAGCCUUAAGGGCUGUCCUGAAGGUCUCGGUGUUUACCAUAUUGCUGAGACAUUAGACACACCCUUGCUUCCCGGAUUCAUGCUGCCUCUGAUUAUCAUAGAGUCCUUGGCAGAGAGGACAUUCUCCCAAAGGAGGAAUUUAAAGUAAAAUAUACAAACAAGCCUUGUGCCUAGCAAUCAUCAACACGUGUAGAGGCCCACACCCUGCUGGCACUGUUCCAGGGGCAGGAAAUCAUGUCAUACCAUCCUUUCCACAUGGCCAUGCAAGACUCAGCACUCUACCCCUCCCAUGGUCCCAGUCUGGAUAACUCAUGCUCGUACACACCUGUACUUACUUCUACAGCCUCCAGCAAGUCAUUCUAUAAAAAAUUUGAAGCAACUUAAAAAGAUAAUGAUGAAACAAAUGGAUUGACUAGAUUCUAUGAGAGGGACAAAAUGUGCAGAUCUCAAUGGGGUUAAGAAGACAGGGUUGGACCCUGACCAUCUAUGCUGUGACCAGAGAGGCUGUCCUCAGGAGCUGAAAGGCACAGCCUUGGCCAACUCUGAGACUGAGAAAGGUGCACUGAGAAUCAAUGGGAGCAGAUGGUGUGGGCGGUGCCAUCUCUGAGAAGGAACUUCCUUAGGUAACACAAGCAUGGUGGCCAAUAAAGGGUGAGGACAAAUCAUAAAUUGGCAGAAAUGUCUGAGGAGGAGGAAGGGGAAGAAGGGAAAGGGGGAUGGAGAGGGAGGGAAAGUUUUUGUUGCUAGUUGCACUGGAAUAUUGUUAGACCCAGUAGGAAAAGGACUAUUUUGAAUGUGAUUGAUAAAUAGAUAGAUGUGAUGCCCUCUUUGUGGGCAUCAAGGCUGAUUAUUAUCCACCCUCAGGACAGCCCCCAACCCAGGGAGCACAGUGCAUCUGACUUGUGUGGCUCUGACCUGCAGAUGGCCUGGACCUCAAUCUCAGCCCUGCCACUUACAAGCUGUAUGAUGUUGAGCAAGUUGCUUAACCUUUCUGUGCUGCACUUCCCUCAUACAAUUUCUAGUUCUCCACCUCAGGGCUGGCCUGACUCCCUCAGCUGUGAGUCAGGUAAUCCAGAAUCUCCCUACAGGCUGCAAUGUUGUUCAGAGUGGCUAAGCAAGGUUGGGGGUAAAGCAUCCUUGUCUCGACUGUCUAGGGUAGACAGAGCUCUCAGUGGUGUCUGGUCAAGCCUCCCUCUCAGUCUGGGAUGCCAGUAGACACACCCCUCCACAAUGUGGAUGAUCUAUAAGCCUCUGGGAGCACUUAGUGGGGGCAGUCAAAGAGCACCUUCUUCCAGCAGACAUUCUCUUAAUACAAUCGAUUUUACUUUGGAGCAAAGGGGCAUCUCAGGGUUUCAGGUCCCACAUGGAGGUUUCUCAAGACUCACAUGACAAUUGUAGGGGUUGGUAGUAUAAAGACACAAGGUGGGAGCUGGCAACAGAGGGUGCCCAGUCCUCAGCUGGAAGACUUUUGCCUUUCAAUAACUUCAUCUCCAGGAUUUAGUCUCAAGAUGUUUACAUGUGGAUGUUCAAUGUAUCUAGUGGACAUAUAUACCCCAGGGCAUUUGCAGCCUGCUCUAUGAUCAGGCUUUAGGAGGUAUUGACAAUGUUUGUCACGGGUUGGAUGGGGGAAAGAACAGCAGGGAGUCUUUGUGUUGGAUGAGGAAGGGACUUAGGUUAACCUGGAUCAAGAUGUAAGGGUGAAAGCAAGAGCCUCUUAGACACAUAGAAAUGGGAAGUGAGCACCAGGAAAUGAGAGGAUCAGACUGAUGCAGAACAGUGCACAGGUCUUGGCUAUGGAGGUUCUAGAAGAGCAAGGGCCAGCUAGAAACAUUAUUUGAAUGAUCUAAAAAUGAUUCUUUUGGGUAAAGAGUGGCACAUGUUAAGACAGGGAGGGUUGCAAGGACUUGUCUUCUGAUUGGAGGCCAGCUAAGGCUCUUUCUUGACAAUGUCACGGACAGGACGGAGCAAAGGGGUGAGUUCAAAUAUGGUGUGUAUCCAUGUGUGUGCACAGCCCAGUGUGUGCAGGCUGCCAUGGUUCUAGGCAGCCACAGUCUUCUCCAUGUCUUCAGGUCUCUUCAUGCCUUGGUGCCAGGUGCGGAAGCUGGAGAGUUUCCUAUCUGCUGAGUCUUUACAGCGCCACAGAGCACAGUCUGUCAGAAGGAGAAACCGAGGCACUAUUUCCUAAGGAGCCUGGUGGGAGGAGAUGUCCUGGGCUUGCUGGGAGCCAGGCACAGGUGUCCAUAGGCUGGAUGACUCAAUCCAGUAGGUUGGUUUCUAAACUGGAAUAUUUUCCCCUUGUCUUGUAAAACAAAGAGGGUGGAUUGAACCCAGGAGAGCUGUUUGGAUGGGCAUCCAUUUUAAUCUCGGCUUUUUAGGUGCAGGGUGAGGUAGGUGCUAGGGAGAUUUGAUCUGUAGUUUUUAGUGACUGCAGCUUCUCUUCAGAUUGUUGGUACAUGGAGAGCUAGAGGGGAGAUGAGGAUUCAACAGGCUGAGAAGGGGAUCCCUAAUCCUUCACCUCUGUGAGAGAGGGGGAGUGGGGGAGAAGAGACUCAAGUCUGGGACAGGGAGGAGCUGCCUAGGCUGGGACAGGGAGGAGUGCCUAGGACAUGGAGAAGGUGCCUAGGCUGGGACCGGGAGGGCCCAGGGUGCUGGCAAGGCCCCAUGCACUCUGUAUCUAGCUAUUGUUUUGAUUGACUGACUAUCUAUCUAUCUCUCUAUCUAUCUAUCUAUCUAUCUAUCUAUCUAUCUAUCUAUCUAUCUAUCUAUCUAUCUAUCCAUCUUUGAUUUUGAGACAAGACCUUUUCAUGUAGCCCAGGUCAGUAUUGAGUUCCUGUUGACAUGGUAAGGGCACUUUUGCUAAGACAGGACAUUGUGAAACAGUCGGUGGUGGGACAACAAGAGAAGACCAUUCACUUCCACGUGGUGCUGUCCUCUCUGCAUUCCUUCUGACCCCUGUCCUUCGUUGCUGUGGGGUCUCUUAUUCUCUUUGACUGUAAGAAAAGCAGGGCAUUCAGAGUGGACACAGAUGGCAUUGGGGAGUGUGUGUGUGUGUGUGUGUGUGUGUGUGUGUGUGUGUGUCUGUGUCUGUGUCUGUGUGUGGUGUGCAUGAGAACACAUGUGGUGUGAGAAGGAUCAAAAGGGCUAGGGCUCACCAGCAGACCAGAGCACAGGAUCAGAGAGUUUCUGGGCAGGGCGGGUAGGGCAAGGUCCUGCCUGAGUCAGCCCAGAGGAUGCUCCAUCAGACUCCUGUCAGCCUGCACAGCUGGAGCAGCAAUCCUGGUGGCACUCACUGAGGAGCCAAGAGCAUCCCCAAGACUGAGUAAGUAAAGCAAUGGAGGACCCCAGGGCUCGGUGGGAGCUGAAGAAGCCAGGGAUACUCAGUCAGACCUGGCCUUACAGUCUGAGACAAGAGAGGAGUGGAAGAGGGGGUGUCUUCAUACCUGUCUUUCCCUGUCCUCCAACCCCUGCUUGAUAUUUCUGUCCCUUGAACCCUGUCAUCUCUAAGCCACUGCUAGAGGCUGGAAAUACCAAACAGAAAUUAAGGUGUGAGCCCAAGGACCCAUGUGGCCAAUAGCAUGCACCACAGGGGUGGGUGUCAGGUGUCCGAAAGCAAGUGGCAGGUGUCUAUGGUCCCAGGGGCCAGCCGGGGAGAUGGAAUGGGGGUCUCAGGUUCAUAGAUCCACAGAGGGAGGCAGGACUUGCAGGCAGCAAGGACUUAGACAAGAUGCAAAUCUUAUUUCUACUUACAGGUGCGCCCUUGGCAUAUGCUGGAGAGCGAUGGAAUCCACAGGUCGGGCUCUCAGAAAACAGAGAUUUCACGGACAGGGCUGUGCAGAGUGGCUGGUACCAUCUGGUACCACGUGGGGGCACUGAUACCUCACAGGAUCGGAAAUGUGCUGGAGAGCGCUUUUCAUUUUACUGUGAGAGCCAGCCACUCCUCCUGCGGCCAUCCCAAUCCUCCGUGAACCCUCCAUCGCCCGUGCCAGGUUCUUCUUCAGAAUCCUCAGCAGCCCUCUUGGUUUCCAUGACCCUGGAGCUUUUCCUUGAGUAAAACAAGUAAACCGGACCCUUUCCAAAGUGAUAUCUGAAGUUCCAGGAGACAAGCUUGGAGAAAGAAGGCCCCUAGAAUGGACGCCCUCUCUCCUCCCUCUCCAGGUCUUCCUUCUGUAAGAACCUAUAUCAGCUCCACUUCCAGUGUAUCUACUGCUACAGCAUCAUGUUCUUUCAUUGGUGGGCUGGUGUCCCACGUGUUCUGGCUGGGAAGAUUCAGUUUGUAGCCAACACUACUCAUGCUUUUUGCCAUCUCUUCACCAAGUACCCCUUUCCAAUGGACUCCAAAGCAACCAUCGUUUCUUCAUGUAUUUUGGCCUCAGCAUCCUUUUCUUCGGCUUCCACCAGCAGACAUCCCCAAGGGACCCUGGAAGAUGCCGAGAUAAAAAGUGGAACCAGGGACUGAUACUAACAGAGCUGUCCUCCUGGAGACCCUGGCAGAGGACAGCAUAGCUCUUAGCAGAUUCCUGGAACUGCAGUUGGUUGGAUGAACAAUGUCCUCCCUUCUAGACCUGAGGAGGGAUGAAAUGGAUUAUGUCUUCAUACCCACUUCUCACAUGGAUUUGUAACUAUUUGCUAACCUCCUGCUUCUACUAGACAUAGUCUUAUAAUGGAAGGGACUGUCACCUACCUCAUUUCAACAAAUGUGUCUCUAGGGCUCAGAUUCAGCAACUGGUGGUCAUGACCACUGGUAAAGGACAGGCCUGGGUGUGAAUGAAAUCAAGGAUGGCUGGCAAUCUGACUUGGAGUGGGAAAUUACUUGGUUUCUGAAGUAGUGCUGAACAGUUACCCCUUUCCCAACCCACCCCCUCCCCCCCCAUAGCUCUUGGCUUGCCACCCUCUAUAUGUGUAUCUCUGCAGUUGUAUGGUUCCAUGGUCUGUUAUUGGGGUGAGAGAAAUGGCUAUGUGCACGGAUGAGAACUGUUUUCUGUCAACAUGUGGAUCUCUCUGCUUUGUUCACUUGUCUCUUCUGUAAAUAUUCACAAAUAAAA
rnacentral:lncRNA from 1 species